GAUGAAGAACGUAGCGAAACGCGAUAAGUAAUGUGAAUUGCAGAAUCCAGUGAAUCAUCGAAUCUUUGAACGCACAUUGCGCCCAUUAGUAUUCUAGUGGGCAUGCCUGUUCGAGCGUCAUUAAUUCCACUUAAGCCCUGCUUAGUGUUGGGAAUCUACUCUAGUGGUGCUACCCUGGAGCUACCCCUGAAAGGGGGCUGGCCCGGUAGCUACCCUGUAGUUCCUCAAAGAUAGUGCGCGGAGUUGCGUGGUCCUCUGAGCUUAGUAACUAUACACCUAGCUUUUGAGUGUCCCGCGGCGCCUGCCGUUUAAACCCCAUCUUUUAAUGGUUGACCUCGGAUCAGGUAGGAAUACCCGCUGAACUUAAGCAUAUCAAUAAGCAGAGGA
rnacentral:misc_RNA from 1 species